CUGAGGGGCACCUUCCUACAGAACUCAGCUGUACAGCAAAGAAAAACUUGCGCUUCCCAAAGCAGGGCCACGCCUGGAGCUGCAUCUGUGUCCUUUGCUCUUACAGUGUGCGGUGGUCUUCUCAGGGAGGACUGCUGCAAAUCUGAGGCAGCCUGAGCUACACAGAAGCAAAUGCCCAACAGAUGUUAAGGAAGGGCCCCUCAGUCAUCUUGAAUGGCUCCUUGGAAAGUCCAUCUCUACGUCUGUUUUACAUGCAUGCCUUCUGUUUCGAACUUGGAGUGCCCAUUACAACACCCCACCAACAGUUGACAAGAGAUAACUGCACAGUCUGCAGACAGGGAGAUUCCCGGGCAAUUUUAAGACAGAAGACAGCGACGGAGAGGAAGACAGAACUUCAAAUACCCUCCAACAUCAGAGUCCAAGUGGGGAGUACACAGAAACCAGAAACGCAGCAACAGGGUCAAAUGAUGGGUUUUGAACUACUGCCCAGCAAGCCUAGAAUGGUAUUCAGACAUUUCACAAAACAGCAGCCUUGGAUAACUGAGAAGCCAUGCCAUUCAGGGAAAGGGUGAGGUAAGAGGCCACCCCACCACACUCGAGCCCUUUUACACUGACUUUCAACAAACUUAGCGCUUUGAGUUGAGUACCCAAGUACUUCGGUUAUUUUAGAAACAGCCCAUGUUCAUUCACCAGCUGAUACUAUCUUUUGGAAUGGGCCUAAGUUCAUGCAGGGAAUGCGGUGUAAGGGCUGUGUCACACUGAGCUGGCUAAUCUGGGUUGGAUCUUGGCU